GAGUGUGAUGAAACCUUUCUUGAGAAGCACAAACAGAAGAAGACCAACAACUAGCAGGGUGAUGACAAGUGUAACAACAACAAUCACUCCAGUGUUGGACCCUGAAACAGAUAAAAGUGGAUGUGAGAGUCAGAAGUUGAGGUCAGAUGAUCAGCAGCAGACUGGACCUCACAGCCCACACAGAACCACUAAAGGUGUGAACUCACAGACAGUCGGUGUGAAGGAUUUAAACAGUCAGCAGCAGAAGAGGCAGCUGUGGAGCUUCACUACAGGCCUCGUUUGUGGAAACUGCCUCUCAACUGGAAAGGAGCCACAAACUUGACAGAAAAGGAGGCUCAGAGUUCAGGACCACUUUCAGUCUGAGCUCCUCAGUGGACCUGAGCCCGGUACCAACAUCAUUCUUUUAUGUCACUGACAAAAAGAUUCAGUGAUGAAGAUCCUGUGACAUCAGAACCAGAAGCAGCUCCAGUGUGACUCCAGGAGACGGAGCUCAGAUGUGUUUCAGGACUCAAAGUUUCUCUGAUUAAUCAACUAAAUGAACUCAUGAAUCAAG